rnacentral:rRNA from 1 species
UACAGAGGUCUCAAGCGUUGUUCGGAUUCAUUGGGCGUAAAGGGUGCGUAGGUGGCGCGGUAAGUCGGGUGUGAAAUUUCGGAGCUUAACUCCGAAACUGCAUUCGAUACUGCCGUGCUUGAGGACUGGAGAGGAGACUGGAAUUACGGUGUAGCAGUGAAAUGCGUAGAGAUCGUAAGGAAGACCAGUGGCGAAGGCGGGUCUCUGGACAGUUCCUGACGCUGAGGCACGAAGGCCAGGGGAGCAAACGGG